rnacentral:rRNA from 1 species
GAUGAACGCUGGCGGCGUGCUUAACACAUGCAAGUCGAACGAAGCAUUUUCAAAUCUUCGGAAGAGGAAAUGACUGAGUGGCGGACGGUUGAGUAACGCGUGGGUAACCUGCCUUAUACAGGGGGAUAAUAGUUAGAAAUGACUGCUAAUACCGCAUAAGCCAAUAGAGACGCAUGACUUAGUUGGAAAAGAUUGAUCGGUAUAAGAUGGACCCGCGUAUGAUAACCUAGUUGGUGAGGGAAAGGCUCACCAAGGCGACGAUCAGUAGCCGGCUUGAGAGAGUGAACGGCCACAUUGGAACUGAGACACGGACCAAACUCCUACGGGAGGCAGUAGUGGGGAAUAUUGCACAAUGGGGGAAACCCUGAUGCAGCAACGCCGCGUGAAGGAAGAAGUAUUUCAGUAUGUAAACUUCUAUCAGCAGGGAAGAAAAUGAAGGUACCUGACUAAGAAGCCCCGGCUAACUACGUGCCAGCAGCCGCCGUAA